UAGAUCGUUCUAAGAAACAUAUGAUAGUUGGAAGGUAGAAAGUAGAACAAUCUGAGGUAUGCCCCGCAAUCUCUCGCAGCUGGUAGAGUGGUGGCCUCGCAGGGGUCGCGACGGUGGUCUCGGCCGAGGUACUAUUGGAUCUUGGUCAUAGAUGGUCUCGACAGAGGUGAGAUGCGUGGGUCUCAUGGCUGGUCUUGGCAGAGUGAAAAUGACAUUUUGUUAGCAUUGGACAAUGGGUAGAAACUAGAACAUUCAUGGUGAUAUUGAUGAUGACGAGUUUCUGCAAAGGGAAGAAGAAGUUGCUUGAAGAAUCCAUCAUCAAAUCAAGUUAUGAUAUUAUGGGGUUCCAUUGUUAACUCGAGUUAUUUUAUUAGAUUUUUUAGUUUUGUAUUAUAAAUGUGAUAAGAUUGAUUAGUAUUUGUUCCAAAUUUUGUUUUUAUAGAUUUGUAACUUUUUCAUUGAA